rnacentral:rRNA from 1 species
GACGAACGCUGGCGGCGUGCUUAACACAUGCAAGUCGAACGGAAAGACCCUGCUUUUGUUGGGUGCUCGAUUGGCGAACGGGUGAGUAACACGUGAGUAACCUGCCCUUGACUUUGUGAUAACUUCACGAAACUGGGGCUAAUACCGGAUAGGAUCUCCUGCUGCAUGUGGGGGGUUGGAAAGUGUCGGCUGUGGGGGAUGGACUCGCUGCUUAUCAGCUUGUUGGGUAGGUAGUUGCUUACCAAGGGUUUGACGGGUAGCCUGCCUGAGAGGGUGACCGGGCACCUUGGGACUGCGAUACGGAGCAGAAUCCAAUGUGCGGCAGUAGUGGGGAACAUUGCACAACGGGCGGAAGCCUGAUGUAGAAACGCCGCGUGCGGGAUGCCGGCCUUCGGGUUGUAAACAGAUUUCGCAGGUGAUGAAGAGUGAGUGACGGUACUGGGUAAAGAAGCCACGGCUAACUACGUG